UACGUAGGGUGCAAGCGUUGUCCGGAAUUAUUGGGCGUAAAGAGCUCGUAGGCGGUCUGUCACGUCGGAUGUGAAAAUCCAGGGCUUAACCCUGGACCUGCAUUCGAUACGGGCAGACUAGAGUUCGGUAGGGGGAGACUGGAAUUCCUGGUGUAGCGGUGAAAAUGCGCAGAUAUCAGGAGGAACACCAGUGGCGAAGGCAGCACUCUGGGGACGUGACUGACGCUGAGACGCGAAAAGCGUGGGGGAGCGAAACAGG
rnacentral:rRNA from 1 species